GUAAUUUAUUUAUUUUAUAACAGGUAAGCUUUAUACUAAAAGCUUCAUUCCCUUUAAAGCAGAGUUUUUAUAUUUGAGGUAAUCUUGCUGGGAGUGAAGGCAGUGCGUAUGAUCGCUUGAUAUGAGACACACAUACUGUAUUUAAAGGUCAACUUUAUACGUAAGCUUCAUUCCAUUUAUAACAGAGUUUUCAUAUGCGAGGUAAUCUUGCUGGGAGUGAAGGCAGUGCGUAAGACCGCUUGAUACGAGAGACACAUUCUAUUUUUAAAGGUCAACAUACUGUAAGCUUCAUUCCCUUUAAAGCAGAGUUUUCAUAUGUGAGGUAAUCUUACUGGGAGUGAAGGCAGUGCAUAUGACCACUUGAUAUGAAAGACACAUCCUGUUUUUAAAGGUGGAUCAUGAGUGAAGCUCUGCAGGUCUGCCAUUAGCUUGAUAACAGUGGUUUAUGUGAAUUGAGUGAAUUCAAUUUAUAAAUAAAUCUUUCACCAAGCAUUCACCUAUUUACGGACAAAACAGAUCCAAAUCUUGUUCAGCCUGAUGCUCAACCUUGUAUGAUGAUGACCACAGCCAGGUGAUGGAGAUCUGUUUUAAUCACAGCCUGCGUCUCAAGAUCAACAUGACAAUAGCAGACCAUUUCUUAUCUUACUCUUAUCUGACUAAAUGUUCAGCAUCAUUGCAACAAAACAAAGAACAUUGGAUGGAGUAUUGGAGUAUUGGAUGAUCCCGUAAAGAAAAUAAUAUGGACUUUUUUGGUGAGAUUCUACAAAGAUUGACACAAUCCUAUUGACUUUUAUUUUUACAGUUAAUAAUGCAUUAUAAACAUCCCAUUCAUUUGUAUUCUAUGUCAUCGAUCUGUUUGUACUAAAAUGUAUACAUCUGAAUGUAAUGUCAAUAAUAUGUUAAUAUUCAGGAUUUAUUAUCAUUUGCAUGUUUUGAUGUUGCAUAUUAUGAUUUUAUUGAUUUCAUGUAAUUGUUGUCUAUUUAAAAUUAUUUUAAUUGCCAAUUUUUUUUGUUACUUUAUUUAAUAUUGAAGCUGUUAUUUAACAUCCAUAUCUUAUUUGAGUAGUGAUUUGUUAUUUGCAUAAUAAUUCAUAUAUUUAUUCUGAUUGUGAUUUUAAUGCAAAUAUUUAUUAUUGUUUGACACCUCAUGUAAUGAAAAAGUGAAAAUAAAAGUAUGUUCUGAUGUCUUGCUGUUCUGUUUUU